rnacentral:tRNA from 1 species
GUCUGGGUGGCUCAGUCGGUUAAGCGUCUGACUGGGUCUCGGCUGAGGUCACGAUCUCACAGUUUGUGGGUCCAAGCCCCACCUCAGGCU